CAACCCCAAGUCAGGUGGGACUACCCGCCGAGCUUAA
rnacentral:rRNA from 3 species